rnacentral:misc_RNA from 1 species
UGAAUUGCCAAAAGCUGUUACAGAUAAAUCUGUGUUUUUCACUUCUUGAUAUGACGAACAAAUAUAAAUUAAUUUAAUUUAGAUGCAUGGUUUGGCAGCUCAUGUAUUCACAAAUCUGCAGUUCUUCCUGACUUCUCCAUUGGUAAAGCUAUCAGGAUUGGUGAUAUUUCCCAAUUUCACCAUAGAAUCAGAGAACUGCUGGAAGAAACUUAUUGGGUCAUGAGCAUACUUCACAACAAGCUGCUUUGUUUGAAUUCCAAGUAUGCUCGAGUACAAUUCUUGGUCUGAGUUCAGUAGUCCUUCUCCUCUCAAUAGAAUCUGAUAGUAAGAGUUGUCGAAAAGGUUAGGAGUGAUAUUGUCCAUUGCUGAUACAUUAUUGUCUCCACCUCCAGCAGCAGGACAUAUGGAUUUCAAGUUACUCAGGUAUGUCUCUGACAUUGGGCCUUUAUCUGAAGUUGUUUCGAAAUCUCCAUAAAUCCUUGCUCGAAAAUUCGCACAUCGAGCCAUGCCUAUAGUGUGUGCCCCUGAAAGGGCUGCCGUGUCUGUGACAGAGAGGCCCUGAUAAAGAAACUUGGAAAUGAUAGAUACCAGACCUUCAUCUGCGGUUGGAAUAUUUGCUGAUGCAAGCUCAAAGCUUGCAGUCUUGGAAUCUUUCCUUCCUACAGGAACAUCCCAAUAUGGUCCACCGACCUGGCAGCAUUG